GUCGAGCGAAUGAUGAGGAGCUUGCUCCUCUGAUUUAGCGGCGGACGGGUGAGUAACACGUGGGUAAUCUGCCUGUAAGACGGGGAUAACUCCGGGAAACCGGGGCUAAUACCGGAUAACAAGAGAAGAAGCAUUUCUUCUUUUUGAAAGUCGGCCUCUCGCUGACACUUACAGAUGAGCCCGCGGCGCAUUAGCUAGUUGGUGAGGUAACGGCUCACCAAGGCGACGAUGCGUAGCCGACCUGAGAGGGUGAUCGGCCACACUGGGACUGAGACACGCCCCAGACUCCUACGGGAGGCAGCAGUAGGAAAUCUUCGGCAAUGGGCGAAAGCCUGACCGAGCAACGCCGCGUGAGCGAUGAAGGCCUUCGGGUCGUAAAGCUCUGUUGUUAGAGAAGAACAAGUACGAGAGUAACUGCUCGUACCUUGACGGUACCUAACCAGAAAGCCACGGCUAACUACGUGCCAGCAGCCGCGGUAAUACGUAGGUGGCACGCGUUAUCCGAAAUUAUUGGGGCGUAAAGCGCGCGCGGGCGCUCUCUUAAGUCUGAUGUGAACGCCCACGUCUCCACCCGUGGAGGGUCAUUGGAAAUCUGGGAGACU
rnacentral:rRNA from 1 species